rnacentral:rRNA from 1 species
GAUGAACGCUAGCGAUAGGCCUAACACAUGCAAGUCGAGGGGCAUCACAUGAAGUAGCAAUACGGAUGGUGGCGACCGGCGCACGGGUGAGUAACACGUAUGCAACCUGCCUUCAACAAGGGGAUAACCCGUUGAAAGACGGACUAAUACCCUAUAACACAGGGGUCCCGCAUGGGAAUAUUUGUUAAAGGACAACCGGUUGAAGAUGGGCAUGCGUUCCAUUAGCUAGUUGGCGGGGUAACGGCCCACCAAGGCAACGAUGGAUAGGGGAACUGAGAGGUUUAUCCCCCACACUGGUACUGAGACACGGACCAGACUCCUACGGGAGGCAGCAGUGAGGAAUAUGGUCAAUGGACGCAAGUCUGAACCAGCCACGUCGCGUGAAGGAAGACGGCCCUACGGGUUGUAAACUUCUUUUAUACGGGAAUAAAGUGCCCCACGCGUGGGGUUUUGCAUGUACCGUAUGAAUAAGGAUCGGCUAACUCCG